rnacentral:rRNA from 1 species
GUAGGGAAUUUUGCGCAAUGGACGAAAGUCUGACGCAGCAACGCCGCGUGAGUGAUGAAGGUCUUCGGAUUGUAAAGCUCUGUUGAGUGGGAAGAAAAGUCACGUUUUUAACAGAAACGGGGCCUGACGGUACCGCUCGAGGAAGGACCGGCUAACUACGUGCCAGCAGCCGCGGUAAUACGUAGGGUCCAAGCGUUGUUCGGAAUCACUGGGCGUAAAGGGAGCGUAGGCGGAGCCGUAAGUUGGAUGUUUAAUCCCCGGGCUUAACCCGGGAUCUGCUUCCAAUACUGCGGCCCUUGAGUGAGGAAGAGGGAGAUGGAAUUCCAGGUGUAGCGGUGGAAUGCGUAGAUAUCUGGAAGAACACCGGCAGCGAAGGCGGUCUCCUGGUCCUAUACUGACGCUGAGGCUCGAAAGUUAGGGGAGCAAACAGGAUUAGAAACCCGAGUAGUCC